rnacentral:lncRNA from 8 species
GCUUAAGAUGUCCUACCAGUGCCUUGUAUCCGGGGGAAGAGGUGAAGCGUGACAACAGGCUGGAGGUUGGACCGACCGUCACCCUGGUCUAUAGUGAGAGGAAGGGCUUCAGGGGCUGACAGCCAGACAAAGACAGACACAUGUCGACAAUGUGUAUACUCAGGCCCUGACAGAGUUUGGGUUAAUAGUGGGAGUCUCGUAUGAGGAUCGACUGACGAGCAGCUUGUCAACUCUCCAUCUACAUGCUGUUGGAGGAUCAGGAGGAUCACCCACCAUGUCCAUGGAAGGAAGAGCAAGGCAGACAGAUGGAGAGAGAUAGACAGCAAA